rnacentral:lncRNA from 1 species
UUUUUUUUUUUUUUUUUUUUUUUGCAUUGAGAGAGGGUCUUGUUCUGUCACACGGGCUGGAGGGCAGUGGCACUGUCAUGCUCCACUGCAGCUUCAACCUCCUAGACUCAAACAAUCCUCCUUCCUCAGCCUCCCAUGUGGCUGGGACUACAGGUGCACACCACCACUCCUAGCUAAUUUUUUAAAAUUCUUGUAGAGAUAGUUCUUGCCAUGGUGCUUAGGCUGGUCCCAAGCUCCUGUGCUCAAGCAAUUCUCCCACCCUCACCUCCCAGAGUGCUGGGAUUAUAGGCAUGAACCACCACACCUGACCAAGCUCAUCCAUCUUGAAGCAGAACUCAACACUUCAUCCCAGCCUGCAGCAACAAAUACCUUCCACCAAGCAAAAGAAAGGAUGUAAACUUGACCAAAGAUUUUACUGAUGUGGUGGAAGGGAGAUUCACAGUCCACUAAUCCCCACCCAGUCCAUCCCUUCUCCUCCACAUCUUUCCUUUUGGCUGCUCUCUAUUUGGUGUCUAGCUUUUUCCCCAAAUCCCAGAAAGCCAGAGACCAUUAUUCCAAGAAUGACUUUGCUUUCCACAAACAAAAGAGUGUUAAACCAUGAUGACUCAAUGGGAAAGUUAUCAAUUAUGAGUAACUUUUUCUUUUAUAAUUUUCUCUGUCACAAAAGCUAGUAUCUCCAAUUCCUUAGACUACUAUAUAAACAUAAUUUCCAUUUCUCUCACUUUCUUAGACAAACAUUUCAAUUUACUCCCGGUAGUUAUAUUUAUCUUCAGGUGUGGGGCCCAGAAUCAAAUGUAAAAUCGUGGUCUGAGCUGAAAAAAGUAGAAUAGGGCCCUCACCUCUAUCAUUCUAAUAAUUUUAUUUUCAUUGUUGUGGUCUAGGACCCCAAAAACUUUUAUAGGGAUCACUUUUCACCAGUUAUUUAUAUUGAGGUUCCUGGCAGCAGAAUUCUCUUAUUCAUGUUUCUACUAAACUAUAUCUUCCCCUGUUCUAUACUUAUGACAUUGUACAAUGGCUGAGGUCUACAAGUUUUCUCUAUUAAAUGUAAUUUUAACAGAUUAGUCCAUCAUUUCAGUCUGUCAAUGUUCUAUGCACCCAGUUCUAUUACCCAGCCUCUACCCACUCCCAGCAUCGCAUCUGAAAAUUGAAGGCCCAUGCUGUCUAGAAAUUGCUAAAGAUGGCAGAACUAAGCAAAGAGCACU